rnacentral:tRNA from 1 species
GGAGAGAUGGCUGAGUGGUCGAAAGCAACUCACUGCUAAUGAGUUGACCUGAGUAAUCGGGUCCCUGGGUUCGAAUCCCAGUCUCUCCG